UAGGGGAAGAAAGUUAAAUAAGAGAAUUGAGAUCUCUCAGUUGGCUUCUCCUUUUUGAAAUAAAGCUACCAUGGAUUUGUCUGUUCUGUCGAUUGGCUGAUAAGAGAGAGAGAGAGAGAGAGAGAGAGAGAGAGAGGUGUUCUUUUAUUGAAGAACAUGAUGCCAUGGAUGGCCAUUGGUCCACCUCUCCUCAUUGAGUUCCCUUGGUCCUCUAUUCUAUGAGCAGCUACCAAGAUUCAAGUUGAAUUGAUGGCCCAUUGACUUCACACAGCCCUCCACUUAUUUCUACCUGGAGACUCGGCGCAGCCUCCUCUCCUUGGAUACCAACAGGCUGCUGGACUUCUUUACGUGGUGUGGUGGGGGGUUGCAGAUUUAUGGAUUGGUGUAACACAGAGUCAUCCAUCCUCCCUCAAUGUGCUCUGUAUCUUCUCACGAUUCGAUCAUAGCUUUGGGUUCGGCCUGUGGAGGGAGAAAGCUGAAGAGGAAUUGAUUGCCCUUGGAACAAAGAGCGAGGAGGCGUUGAAGGAGAGGGCAUCCAAUUCUCAUUAAUGGCGGUCAUGUGACUUUUUCCUGGGGACCAUGCAUCCCAUCAAUCACCUGUACUGCUGAGGUUGUGUUUGUGUGAGAGAGAUUCUUGGGGGGUGGGGUGGAGAGCCUCUGUCCACCUCAAGCCCUGUGCAAAAACACAUUGUGAUGAUCUAUCCGAUGGACACGAGGAUAGCUCGCAAGAGCUCAAGAGUCGGAAACCGGCAGGGACUAUAUAAACUAAUAAGGCCAUCACAACUCUUGAGGACUCCUAGGGAUUGCCGAUGGCUGUAUCAAGUGCACCUGUUUCUUUUCUUUCUUUCUCUGUUUCUUACACUAAGCAGUCGUCAUUCAUUUCUCUUUGUUUAUGUAGGUCAAGGUUUAUAUGGAUCAACCCAUCUUCUCCGCACGCCAUCUCAUGUGAGCAAUGCCUAGUCCCCACUACUUUUGUGGGGGAAGAAGACGAAGACAACGAACGCAUCAUACAUGUUUUGACGGGUGGAGAGACCAUCGGAAGCGUGACCUUUGCUUGCUUGUGGAGCUGAAACACAUGUUCGACACAGACACGAGAGACAUACAAGAAAGAAAGCCAAGUAAUUGCUGAUAUGUGAACCUUCCUGUUUGCAUCUUUUCUCUCUCUCUCUCUCUCUCUCUCUCUCUCUCUCUCUCUCUUUCUCUCUCUGGUUGUGGUUUGUGAUCGCUUGGCAUGACAUAAAUUUCAUAAUGGUGGAACAUAAGCAGAUAUGUAGUCUCGUGAUGAUUCAAUGCAAAGCAAAGAGGCACUUUUGCAACCGAGUUGCUCAUCUUUUGUGUUGCUGCCUUUUACUUUAUUAACUUUUUGGUAAAGCCAUUGAGAUAAAAUAUAAAAAGUAGUGGCAGAACCUGAGACAACAUUAUGUCUGAGGAUCUGAAAGUUCAUGCACAUAUUUGGGAAUACGACCCUUAGGCCAAAACACUGCUUUCAAUAGCUUUUACUCCCUUUCGUAGACAGAUAGAUAGAUAGAUACAUGCAUACACAAUUUAUAUAUAUACACUGGUCUUACGUUUGAUCAGUUCAGAGCCGAAGCUGCUCCUGCAAAUGGGGCCUUCUUUUAUCGAAUUCAAGUUGAAAUGGUAUCUGCUCGCGUUAACAUUUCAUUCGCAGUGAUGGUUAUGCACUUCUCUUGUAACCUCAAAAGUCUCGGAUUGGCCGGAGAAAGACUUGCGACGUUUAAGCAAAGCGAUCUGGGAAACGAAGAGAGGCGAAGAACAAGUCGACUCAGCUUACUCGGCAUGAUUAGGUCAACCCGUUGUCAUGUUCUUGCCAAACCGGAAAAGAGAACACAGUUCAUGUCUACAAGACCGUGAAAGAUUCAAUCAAGCUAGUUAAAUGCAAAUAAAUUAACCCACCAUAUCAGAACAACAAGUAGUUGAAAAGUCUUAGAUACAUAGGACAUGCAUGUCACACGAGUGUCGAUAAUUAUAGCAAAUCAUACAACGUAGUGGAGACUUUGCAUCUAUCUACCUAAUGGUCUGCCCACACUUAAAAAGACUCCAUAUCAAACAAAUAGUUGCCAUAAUUUUCGCUUAGAUCAUUCUACUUGAUUUAUAGCACUAGCUGCACUGCAGUACCCAAGUUGCACUAGAUGUGCAGAAGCAUAUCCAUGGUUCCAUCUUAUCAACUCAUCUACAGAAAUGGCAACAAGAACACAUCACCCAUCUCGUGCAAGGAGUUCUCCUCCCUCACACGGGAGAGGGAGAGCGUCAGGAGAAGGAAGCUAAGAGAAGGUCGGUCCAUACCCCAGCUGGAGGGCGGUCCGCUGCUGGUGAGUGUAGUGUUGAGUAGGCUGCACUGCGUUCACUUGCAGAAAGUUCCUGGAAUCAUAUGGAGGCAUGAUCUCGUAUUCGGUGGUCCUCGCUGAAGGCAGCAUGCUCAUCUGCUGUUGUGCUCUCUCGUUUUCAGCAAUCUGUUGGGAGUUGGAACCAUUUCAACUUGUCGAAACCACAGAAAGAAUGAGAGAGAGAGAGAGAACCUUGUUCCUCAGGUACAUGUUGUCAUUUUGCAGCUCCAUCUCCUGAGAAUAAGAAUUGCAGAGCAUGUAUGUCUGUCAAUACGUGAUUCGAAGAGAGCAUGUGAGAAAUAGCAUCAGUGGAGUUAGAAUCUGUGCUCAUUACCCUUUUCUGCAUGUACUCGAUUUCAGCAAACAACAGCUCGUUCUGAAACAAUCAGCCACGAGGAGUAAGCAAUCAUGCCAUAGAAAAUAAGUCGCCAAUUCAAAAGAUUCAACACAUUUACCUUCUUAUUUCUGAUUUUGUUUAUGCCUUUCUCCAAUCUAGUCUCGAGUUGCUUCAUGUCCCGCAAGCUCAUGGAGCCGAGCGACUCUCCCAUCAGGCUCCUGGUAAAUGAGCAUAUGUACUAUUUUCACAGCCACCUGAUGCUGAGAAGGUAAUCGAGGCUUAUGUUCGAGUUAUUACCUGUUCGUACUCUGUAAGUUGUUGAUCUGCUGACGGAGUUUCGAUGCUUCUUGCUGGUAGUACUGAAAAGAAAAAAAAUACAUAGCAGAGGUCUGAGAUCC
rnacentral:lncRNA from 1 species